CUUAACAGGUAGGUAUACUGGGAAAUGCUGCUGAUUUUUACGAGGAUGGUUCAAAUAGUGACUCUAUGGACAGCAUGGACAGGCGACAGAUGAUGAUUGCAUUUGACAUGAGAUGUGUGGGUUUCAUAAUGGUGAAAAUGGUAAUGCGAGAGCUUAUUGAUCCUUUGAUCUUUUCAAAGUUCAAAACAUUCCUCACUAAGGGAUAUGAUCCUUCAUGUUUGCGAGAGCUUAUGUUGGAAAUCCUUGGUAGAAGUUCCCCAUAUGGAAAUGCUGGCUUUCAAGUA